rnacentral:piRNA from 1 species
UCACACACCGUGGUUGCUAAAUUAAUGUCU